rnacentral:lncRNA from 10 species
GUGGCUGCACGCAGCCCACCUCUCCCGACGAUCCGGGUCCUCCCGCCCUUCGCGGUGAUUCUGUCGCGAACCCUCUCACGGCAGCUAUGAGACUGCUGCGCUCCCCAGACGAGGAAACCUGGUCUCCCGGAGCCAGGUGGAGUCUCGCUCUGUCGCCCAGGCUGGAGUGCGGUGGCGCGAUCUCGGCUCACUGCAAGCUCCGCCUCCCGGGUUCACGCCAUUCUCCUGCCUCAGCCUCCCGAGUAGCUGGGACUACAGCUCUGGGACAAACCAGCUUCUAUGUCAUGAGCACACUCAGGCAGCUCAUUGGAGAGAUCUGCAUGGUAAAGCAAUGAGGCCUCCUGCCAGCAGCCAUGUGAGUGGCAUCUUGGAGCCAGACCCUCCAGCCCCAGUCAAGCCUUCGGAUGCCUGCAGCCCUGGCUGACAUUUUAACCACAACUUCAUGAGAGAUUCUGAGCCAGAAUCACCCAGCUAAGCUGCUCCCGGGUUGCCAGCUUCCAGAAUCACGGUAGGAUGACCUCUCUCCCCUGCUUGGAAGUUACGUAUAUCCACGCAACUUUGAAAUUGAGUAAGACUGGGAUGUGUCAUCCCCA